rnacentral:rRNA from 1 species
GACGAACGCUGGCGGCGUGCUUAACACAUGCAAGUCGAACGGAAAGGCCCUGCUUUUGUGGGGUGCUCGAGUGGCGAACGGGUGAGUAACACGUGAGUAACCUGCCCUUGACUUUGGGAUAACUUCAGGAAACUGGGGCUAAUACCGGAUAGGAGCUCCUGCUGCAUGGUGGGGGUUGGAAAGUUUCGGCGGUUGGGGAUGGACUCGCGGCUUAUCAGCUUGUUGGUGUGGUAGUGGCUUACCAAGGCUUUGACGGGUAGCCGGCCUGAGAGGGUGACCGGCCACAUUGGGACUGAGAUACGGCCCAGACUCCUACGGGAGGCAGCAGUGGGGAAUAUUGCACUAUGGGCGGAAGCCUGAUGCAGCAACGCCGCGUGCGGUAUGACGGCCUUCGGGUUGUAAUCCGCUUUCGCCUGUGACGAAGCGUGAGUGACGGUAAUGGGUAAAGAAGCACCGGCUAACUACGUG